GAGGGUAUAGCUCAGAGGUUGAGUGCUUGCCUUGCAUGCACAAAAUCCUGGGUGCAAUCCCCAGCACCUCCA
rnacentral:tRNA from 1 species